rnacentral:rRNA from 1 species
GACGAACCGUGCGAACGUUGUUCGGAAUCACUGGGCUUAAAGGGCGCGUAGGCGGGUUUGCAAGUCUGUGGUGAAAGCCCCCAGCUUAACUGAGGAAGUGCCGUGGAUACUGCGAAUCUUGAGGAGGGUAGGGGCGUCUGGAACGGUCGGUGGAGCGGUGAAAUGCGUUGAUAUCGACCGGAACUCCGGUGGCGAAGGCGAGGCGCUGGACCCUUUCUGACGCUGAGGCGCGAAAGCCAGGGGAGCAAACGGG